rnacentral:rRNA from 1 species
ACGCUGGCGGCGUGCUUAACACAUGCAAGUCGAACGGUGAAGAGGAGCUUGCUCCUUGGAUCAGUGGCGAACGGGUGAGUAACACGUGAGUAACCUGCCCCAAACUCUGGGAUAAGCACUGGAAACGGUGUCUAAUACCGGAUACGAGCUUCAGCCGCAUGGCUAGGAGUUGGAAAGAAUUUCGGUUUGGGAUGGACUCGCGGCCUAUCAGCUAGUUGGUGAGGUAAUGGCUCACCAAGGCGACGACGGGUAGCCGGCCUGAGAGGGUGACCGGCCACACUGGGACUGAGACACGGCCCAGACUCCUACGGGAGGCAGCAGUGGGGAAUAUUGCACAAUGGGCGCAAGCCUGAUGCAGCAACGCCGCGUGAGGGACGACGGCCUUCGGGUUGUAAACCUCUUUUAGUAGGGAAGAAGCGAAAGUGACGGUACCUGCAGAAAAAGCACCGGCUAACUACGUGCCAGCAGCCGCGGUAAUACGUAGGGUGCAAGCGUUGUCCGGAAUUAUUGGGCGUAAAGAGCUCGUAGGCGGUUUGUCGCGUCUGCUGUGAAAACCCGAGGCUCAACCUCGGCCUGCAGUGGGUACGGGCAGACUAGAGUGCGGUAGGGGAGAUUGGAAUUCCUGGUGUAGCGGUGGAGUGCGCAGAUAUCAGGAGGAACACCAAUGG